rnacentral:rRNA from 1 species
GAUGAACGCUGGCGGCGUGCUUAACACAUGCAAGUUGAACGAAGUGGCGGAUGGGCGAGUAACACGUGAGGAACCUGCCUUUCACAGGGGAAUAACACUGGGAAACCAGUGCUAAUACCGCAUAGUGAAAGAUGGCCUCGCGCCUGAUUAGCUAGUAGGGUAGGUAACGGCUCACCUAGGUGAUGAGCAGUAGCGGGACUGGAGGGUGAACGGCCGAAUUGGGACUGAGACACGGCCUAGACGCCUACGGGAGGAAGCAGUGGGGAAUAUUGGGCAAUGGCGCAAGCCUGACCCAGCAACUCCGCGUGAAGGAAGACGGUCUUCGGAGUGAAAACUUCUUUAGACAGGGACGCGGUACCUGUAGAAUAAGCCACGGCUAACUACGUGCCAGCCGCCGCGGUAAUAC